GUGAUACCAGACGCCCAGCAACCUGGGAUGAUCACGGGACCCAACAGUGUCUGCGCGAACCUUUAGUCCAGACAAAUCAGAGGCCUGUGCAGAGCCCAAGGAUCAUGAAAAAAAAUAAGAUGAAAAGCAGGAAGCCAUAAAUUAUACAAUGAUAAAAAUCACGGCAACUGGUACAAAGCCAGAGUGAAUGUGUAAAGCUCAAAAAACAGAGGAUGUGAAGAACCCAAGAAAGCCUGGGACGCUAGAGACCUACUUCAAAGAGAAUCCACAGCCAUGAGAACCUGUGUCCUGGCAGGAACAGAUCAUCUGCCAAAUAAAGCCUCUUAGGAAUUCAACAGACCAUAAGGAAGCUCUUGGGCAGGUGGCACGGGAUGUAGUCGAGCCAUUUUAGUGUAUGACUGGCCAGGGAGCUGAGUGGAGACCCUCAACAAUCCUGCUCCUGGCUCUCAAGCUUGCGUGCAUCCAAGUCCUCCCAGCCCUGGUCUUCAGGUCUGCCCUAGGUUUGCUCCAGAUGUCCUUGUCGCACUCUGCUCCUGGCUUUUCCACGCACA